rnacentral:misc_RNA from 1 species
AGGGAAGUUGAUGGAAGUAGCUUGUAGAAUGCUUGGAGCAUUUGGACAGGAUUCACAUUUCAGUACAUGUCAAUGAACUUGCACAGCUAAAAAUAAUAGUAAAUAUGGAACCAUGAAAGCAAUAGAGAAAUGGUGAGUAUAUUUAAGAUUUUUUUACCAAUUAGAGGGUUUUUCAGCUGAUAAAAGUAAACUCAUCGGAGAGUAAUUUCCGGCGAAGGUCAUGAAUUUCCGACGAUGAUUUUUUAUUUUGAUUUUCAAUUGCAGGAAGACUUUGAGUAAUAAAAUCACAAACAAAAGGGGUUGAUGCAUCGCCUGGUGUAGAUUUCCUCACAACCCACAUAAGAGAGGAAAUUAGAGAGAGGUUGUUAUUAUUUUGUUGUAAAUUACUGCAAUUACAAAUCAAUUUUUAAUUAAAUUUUCUUUUUUUUUUAAUGUGUGAUUCACUGUAUGCAUAAACAAUCUUGAAAUACCUUUUACCGCUCUGUUUGAUAAUAUUAGCUAUUUUAAUAGUUGUAAACAUAGGUUUAAAGUAAAAAUAUGUAAUAAAAAUAAUUAUUAAAAAUAAAAAUAUGAAUAUAUUUUAUUGAUUUUAA